CCACCAAAUAGCCACCUCAGCAUAUUGACAGAGAGCUUGUUUGCUCUUCAUAGUAACCUCUGGCUGUGCUGUGGGCAGGUCAGCCUUCUAAACGGCAAUUUACUGAGGAGGACUCCUGGACUGAGAUUGUGUGGCAGCACCCAAGUCUUCCAGCCAGCAGUUGCAGAUGCUGCUAAAAUGUCUGAGGCCUGUUGACUACAUUCAGAAGAGGAGGAGAUACUCAAUUUCAGUGGAAGACACAGCAAGAAGGUGGCUGCCUGCAAGCCAGGAAGAGAGCCCUCACCAGAACCUGACAGUGCUGGUCCCUUGAUCCUGGACUUCCAGACUCCAGAGCUGUGAGAAAUAAGCCACUCCGUCUAUGAUAUUUUGUUAUGGCAUCUUGAGCAGAUGAAUACAGAUGUUAAGAAGCUCAGAACGCACAGCAAAGGGUGAUACUACUUGUCCAGGUAAGAGAGGUGUCCCAGCCUACAGCCAAGCUGGAUGGACCAAUGCUGAGCCUUGCCUUGGGGCACUGGAAGGGUGCUCCACAUGAAUCAGGAGCUGAGAAGCUCAGAACUGCAAAAUGGCCCCUAGCCCCUGCUUCUUCAUGGAGGAUCUGCAGCUACCUGACAGCUCUCUCUUCUCACGGGGGUUAGGACCCAGGAGCUGCCCUUCCAUGAUCACAGCUGGCUGGGGCUUCUGCUGACAGGCAAGGCUGGGCCGGCGUGCCAGCAGAACCUCUUAUCUCCUUCAUGUGGAGUGAGUGGAAGGCAGGGGACCUUUCUUGACACUUGGAAGAGACAAAGCCCAGCUCUACCGUGACUGACCACGAGACCCUGGAUAAAUCACUGACUCAUUCCCGUCCUCAGUCUCUCCAGCUGUAGAUGGGAUGGCAAUGUCUACCUCUGCAGGCUGCUGGAAGGAUCAGUUGCAUGUUAGUCUAAGUGGAACUGAUGCUCAGCUGGUACACAGUGCUAUGACCGCUAUGCCUCCCACUGUCAGGGGCUGGAGUCCCUUCUGGCUGGCAGCUGCCUGCACCUCA